rnacentral:rRNA from 1 species
UUUACCGGGACCGACAGCAAUAUGAAGGCCAGGCUGAAGACUUUGCCGGAUUAGCUGAGAGGUGGUGCAUGGCCGUCGUCAGUUCGUACUGUGAAGCAUCCUGUUAAGUCAGGCAACGAGCGAGACCCACGCCCACAGUUGCCAGCGUACUCUCUGGAGUGACGGGUACACUGUGGGGACCGCCGCUGCUAAAGCGGAGGAAGGAAUGGGCAACGGUAGGUCAGUAUGCCCCGAAUAUCCCGGGCUACACGCGAGCUACAAUGGUUGGUACAAUGGGUAUCUACCCCGAAAGGGGACGGGAAUCUCCUAAAACCAAUCUUAGUUCGGAUUGAGGGCUGCAACUCGCCCUCAUGAAGCUGGAAUCCGUAGUAAUCGCGUUUCAACAGAACGCGGUGAAUACGUCCCUGCUCCUU